UGUUCUUAGUCAACAUGCUUGAUACCAGCUAAAAAAUGCAAAAUGAUCUUCAGGCAGGGAUGGCACAAGGACCCUUGCUGAGCUGUGAAGCCUGGCUGUGAGGAUUCCUGCAUGGAAACAUCAACAUGUUGCCAGACUAGUAUACGACUCAGCACCACACUGACAUGCUGCUCCCAAACAGUGCCUUUGAAUCAAGACCCAGUCAUCAUAUUUGAAGAGAAGAGAAAUAUCCCUGACCAUGUUGGGACUUACACUGCUUCACAGAGCAUACCAAAAACAGACUGCAAGGAACCGAAAGAGAUUCAAGAAGCUUGAAAAAGCAAGCCUGACCCUCUGGGACAACCACAGUGUCAAAAGCAGUCAAUAUUUAUGCCUAGCAACCUUGACAAUAUCCUUUUAAUUAAAAUCAAUGGAGAAAUAAAACAUGCAUUAGAAUGCACGUGAGAUCACUCACCUCACG